GAUGAACGCUAGCGGCAGGCCUAACACAUGCAAGUCGAGGGGUAACUAGAGUGAUAGCAAUAUUACUUUGGCUAGACCGGCGCACGGGUGCGUAACACGUAUGCAACCUACCUUAUACUGGGGAAUAACUUCGAGAAAUCGGCGCUAAUACCCCAUAACAUUGCGAAGAGGCAUCUCUUUGCAAUUAAAGCUCCGGCGGUAUAAGAUGGGCAUGCGUCCACUUAGCUAGUUGGUGAGGUAACGGCUCACCAAGGCUACGAUUGGUAGGGGUUCGGAGAGGAGGAUCCCCCCCACUGGUACUGAGACACGGACCAGACUCCUACGGGAGGCAGCAGUGAGGAAGAUUGCGCAAUGGACGAAAGUCUGACGCAGCCAGGCCGCGUGCAGGAUGGCGGCCCUAUGGGUUGUAAACUGCUUUUGUACGGGAAUAAACCCUUCUACGUGUAGGAGGCUGAAGGUACCGUAAGAAUAAGCACCGGCUAACUCCGUGCCAGCAGCCGCCGUAA
rnacentral:rRNA from 1 species